AAGCAGGCCGGUUCCUCACCGCGAUCGUUCACAGAGUUGCUGCUCUCUCUCAUUGACUAAAUUGCAAUACACCACGUUGGACAGCCAUGUUAUCUCUCAAAGGACUCAUUACGCUUUAUUUGUUGGUGUUGUUGUGUUUAACCCAUGUGGAAGAAAGUGCGGCUAGAAGAGGGGGAGGAGGAUGAGGGGGUCGAUCCGGUGGUGGGCGUGGAAGAUCUUCAGGCAGUGGGCGGUGGUCAAAAGGAGGAUCCUCUUAUAAGAAUUCGAAUAUAAACCCAGGUUAUGGCGUGUCUGCCUCCUCGUAUAAAUCCAAACCCAAGACGAGCCUAAGAUCUUACAAUCCGUAUUCGUAUUCCGGAGGUCGAAGCUCAUCUUACAAUGGAUUUGGACUUGGUUUAGGGGCUGGCAUGAUCGUUGGAUAUCAACUGGGAGGCCUUCAUCGGCCGAUUGGAUACUCUGAAUCCUCGUAUAACUACAACUAUAUCCAUAAAGAUCGGGGUUACUAUCAAGAAACGCCCCUCUCAUGUGUCAAGGCCGAGGCUUAUGAAUACCUGAAGCUUCAGUCGGAUCUGCAGGAAGUUGAUAUCGAAGAAGGUGAUGAGAUAUGUGAGUCACCCACGGAUGUUUGCUUUGGGAGGAUUCACAUCACAAAGGCCGAGAUCACCACGGCCAAUUCCACAGAGGUUAUCAUCGAUAUGAGGUCAAGAUUGAGAAAGGCUGCAUCGGAAACGACACCCUGGAGAAACAGGAUGAGAGCACUUAUGACACGGAUCGGAAGUGCUUCACCAGUUCCUUGAAUGAGUCAUCAAAUACGAAUGGCAAUCGAAAUGGCAUCCCAAGUAGACUGAUUGAGGCACUUGGCAUUGAAAACGACCUUUUUAUGAACGUUACGCUCCAAUCCCAGAUGGAAACCUGCACUUGCAAAGGCUGGUAUUGUAAUGGGUCCUCCUUACUGGUUGUUCCAUCCAUGUUUGUACUCAUUGCUAUGGCAAUCACCCUUGGAUAGAAGAUUAUGGUUUUUUUGAUAAUGUCUAUGAAAUGCAAAGCUAACACCAAACUUGAACUUUAAGCACUAUGUUAGUGUCUCUGAAUAAAUUGCAUUGGUGCAAUUCACAAUGGA